GGCUCGGUGGCAGCGGGGAAGCCGGGGGGGGGGCGGGACGUGUCGCGCCGCCGCUCCCGGGGCGGUCCCGCCGCCGCCGCCGCUCUCCGGUGGGGCGGGGCAGCGCCGGGCGCCCCGGCGGCGGCGGCGGCGGCGGUGGCGGUGGCGGUGGCGGUGGUGGUGCCGGUGUCCCCGCCAUGCCCAAGCUGCUGCCGGCGCAGGAGGCGGCGCGGAUCUAUCACACCAACUACGUGCGGAACGCGCGGGCCAUGGGGGUGCUCUGGGCCCUCUUCACCCUCUGCUUCUCCAUCCUGAUGGUGGUGACCUUCAUCCAGCCCUACUGGAUCGGCGACAGCAUCGACACGCCGCAGGCCGGCUACUUCGGCCUCUUCUCCUACUGCGUCGGCAACGCGCUCACCGGCGAGCUCAUCUGCAAGGGCAGCCCCCUCGACUUCGGCACCAUCCCCUCCAGCGCCUUCAAGACCGCCAUGUUCUUCGUCGGCAUCUCCACCUUCCUCAUCAUCGGCUCCAUCCUCUGCUUCAGCCUCUUCUUCUUCUGCAACGCAGCCACCGUCUAUAAAGUCUGCGCCUGGAUGCAGCUGGCGGCAGCGACCGGGCUGAUGAUCGGGUGCCUGAUCUACCCCGACGGCUGGGACUCGAGGGAGGUGAAGCGCAUGUGCGGGGACAAGACGGACAAGUACACGCUGGGCGCCUGCACCGUGCGCUGGGCGUACAUCCUCUGCAUCAUCGGCAUCCUCGACGCCCUCAUCCUCUCCUUCCUGGCCUUCGUGUUGGGGAACCGGCAGGACAACCUCCUCCCGUCUGAUUUUAAAGUGGAAAAUAAAGAAGAGGGCAAUGACUGAGGGAGCCGCUCGCCACGAACACCUACAGCUCUUCUUCCAUCGGCCCUUUUCCUUAAAGUGACUUUUCCAAUAGCUUUAAACUUACCGACUUCUGGAUUUUCUACAACUCUCCUGUUGGCCGAAGGGGCCGUCGUCGGCUCCCAGCUCUCCGGGAGGUUAUUUGAUGGGAAAAGCCCAAACCGGACCCAGAUCACGAUACCAGCAACAGCAUCUUCACCUACACCAUCUCCCCGCAUCUCGUUCAGGAAAUAAAAACAAAGUGCUCACUAAUAAGAAAAUUCGAAUAGAUGGGCCACAGGCUCAAAAAGAACAGACUUACAGAGGGAACAUAGGAGGAGUAGGGCUCAGUUAUUAAAUAAUCUGUUUAUUGUACGGCUUUCACAAAGGAAAAAAGACAAAGCACCCAAGUAGAAAGAAUAAAAAUGUAUUUUCCUUCA